GACAGAGGAUGCAAGCGUUAUCCGGAAUGAUUGGGCGUAAAGCGUCUGUAGGUGGCUUUUCAAGUCCGCCGUCAAAUCCCAGGGCUCAACCCUGGACAGGCGGUGGAAACUACCAAGCUGGAGUACGGUAGGGGCAGAGGGAAUUUCCGGUGGAGCGGUGAAAUGCGUAGAGAUCGGAAAGAACACCAAUGGCGAAAGCGGCUUCCUGGUCCAGCACCGACGUCAGGCACGAAAGCGUGGGGAGCAAACAGG
rnacentral:rRNA from 1 species